GAGUAAUGUCUGGGAAACUGCCUGAUGGAGGGGGAGUAACUACUGGAACGGUAGCUAAUACCGCAUAACGUCGCAAGACCAAAGAGGGGGACCUUCGGGCCUCUUGCCAUCAGAUGUGCCCAGAUGGGAUUAGCUAGUAGGUGGGGUAACGGCUCACCUAGGCGACGAUCCCUAGCUGGUCUGAGAGGAUGACCAGCCACAUGGAACUGAGACACGGUCCAGACUCCUACGGGAGGCAGCAUG
rnacentral:rRNA from 1 species